GAUGAACGCUAGCGGCAGGCCUAAUACAUGCAAGUCGAACGGUGUCUUCGGACAUAGUGGCGCACGGGUGCGUAACACGUAUGCAACCUACCUUACAUUGGGGGAUAGCCUUUCGAAAGGGAGGUUAAUACCGCAUAAGACAGUAGCUGGGCAUCCAGCAGCUGUUAAAGAUUUAUCGAUGUAAGCUGGGCAUGCGUCCAAUUAGCUAGUUGGUGAGGUAACGGCUCACCAAGGCAAUGAUUGGUAGGGGAACUGAGAGGUCAAUCCCCCACACUGGCACUGAGAUACGGGCCAGACUCCUACGGGAGGCAGCAGUAGGGAAUAUUGGGCAAUGGACGCAAGUCUGACCCAGCCAUGCCGCGUGCAGGAUGAAGGCGUUAUGCGUUGUAAACUGCUUUUAUACAGGAAGAAACGACUCUUGCGAGAGGCAUUGACGGUACUGUAUGAAUAAGCACCGGCUAACUACGUGCCAGCCGCCGCAGUAAAAC
rnacentral:rRNA from 1 species